rnacentral:rRNA from 1 species
GACGAACGCUGGCGGCGCGCUUAACACAUGCAAGUCGAACGGAAAGGCCCUGCUUUUGUGGGGUGCUCGAGUGGCGAACGGGUGAGUAACACGUGAGUAACCUGCCCUUGACUUUGGGAUAACUUCAGGAAACUGGGGCUAAUACCGGAUAGGAGCUCCUGCUGCAUGGUGGGGGUUGGAAAGUUUCGGCGGUUGGGGAUGGACUCGCGGCUUAUCAGCUUGUUGGUGGGGUAGUGGCUUACCAAGGCUUUGACGGGUAGCCGGCCUGAGAGGGUGACCGGCCACAUUGGGACUGAGAUACGGCCCAGACUCCUACGGGAGGCAGCAGUGGGGAAUAUUGCACAAUGGGCGGAAGCCUUAUGCAGCAACGCCGCGUGCGGGAUGACGGCCUUCGGGUUUUAAACCGCUUUCGCCUGUGACGAAGCGUGAGUGACGGUAAUGGGUAAAGAAGCACCGGCUAACUACGUG